CUGCAAAGGCCAAGGAAACACACAGUGCUACAGAAUGCAUGGCUAGUAAGCUGAAUGUUGGCACAUUACAGAAAGUGGGCACAGAAUGGUAUGUAUUUUCCUAAAUUGUGUAUGGGACAAGGAUAUUUAUAGAUAUAUAGUGAUCUUACUUUAAUUCAUAUUGCUAAGGUCUCUCUAUCCUGAGGUUCAGGAAAUGAUGUGGGUGCAGUGUGAUUUGUGCAAGGGCUGGCUGCACACUGAUUGUGCUGGAGUGUCAGGAGCUGACAUAAAAAGUGGGUCCUUUACAUGUGGCUAUGAAAUUACACAGCCAUAUACAUGUGACAGGUAUGCAAUUGCACGUUGGCACUGUUAAAUGUUAAAUAAUGAUCUACAUGUUGAUCUCCUUUGCACCAUGACAUGUUUCUUCUUUCUGUUUGUGCUUGGAUCAAAAAGUAUGUAUCUCUAUUUCACAGCACCUUAAGCACUCUUUUGAAGUAUGGCUUGGAGGCUGUGGUACCUGAUGAGGAAAUUAGAGUAUGUACUGUUUGUGGUGAUUUAUUAUUAUUCCCUAACUACCUGUGAUUUAUACAUAAUCUUUCUUAGGCCUUGCAUGGGGCUCUUACUAAGGGAAAAACGGUCCAGUCGCUGGUACCUGUGGAACAAUCCAAACACCUCUGUAAAAUUGAAGCAGUGCCUCAAACCAAAGACAAGCAACUUCAGUGAUGAUUUGACAAAGCAGCUGCUUGACAAAAUUGCCAAAGCAUUAAACCUACCCAGUGACUACAGCAACCUUGAUCUACUUUUUGAUGUUUUUUUCCCAGAGGUGACAAUCAAGAUUUUACAAAUGCACGAAGGACUCUGUCGGUAUGCUGCAGAAGCAUUACUUGCCUCUGGUUAUGUAAUAAGAUAAAUAUUUCUUAUAUGCACUCAGUUGUGUGCCUGGAUUUAAGGUUUUUCAUGAAAGACAAAGUAACUUGUCUUAAUUUAGCAUCAUGUUGUGUACAAAUUACAAAUUUGCUUCACCUAAAUGUUUUUCCUUUUUAAAAAUUAUUCUGAAAAUGGUGUGUAGACAUGCUUUUAAGCAUUUUUUUCUGCUAGGCUUUUUACACAUAAGAUCAUAUUUUCUUGCAAAUAAUUUAUUUUCUAGAUUUAAUAAUUUGUUAUGUCUGACCUCCUCUACCUAAUAAGUAGUUCUGUAACAUGUGACUGACAGAACUAAAUACUCACAGUUGACUGAAUUUGUUUUCUGUAGACUUGAAGACCCGAGUCCUGUGCUGAAUGCUGGGGGCCAGACCCAGAGCAUUUUUGCAGUUUCACCUCUUUUUCUUUUUAUCAAACUGUAUAUAGUCAUUGUAAACAUUUAACCUAAUUAAACUGAGUAUGUUACUUAAUUGUAAUAUAUAUAAUAAUAUAUAUAUAUCGGGUAGUAGAACAUAAUGGGCAUGUUGGUAGUCAUAUUUGUAAAGCCAGAGCUAAUGAUACUGGCUAAGACGGAUGUAUGAAGUAAAUAAAUAAAAAUAUUGCAUGUGUCUAUAGGUAAAGCAUAAUAAUUGAAUAGUUUACUUUGCUUAUGUAAAUUAAUAAAGAUUAGCUAAUUGUGAUUAAUUUCAAUUCCCAA